UGUGAACGCUGGCGGUAGGCCUAACACAUGCAAGUCGAACGGCAGCACAGGAGAGCUUGCUCUCUGGGUGGCGAGUGGCGGACGGGUGAGGAAUACAUCGGAAUCUACUUUUUCGUGGGGGAUAACGUAGGGAAACUUACGCUAAUACCGCAUACGACCUACGGGUGAAAGCAGGGGAUCUUCGGACCUUGCGCGAUUGAAUGAGCCGAUGUCGGAUUAGCUAGUUGGCGGGGUAAAGGCCCACCAAGGCGACGAUCCGUAGCUGGUCUGAGAGGAGGAUCAGCCACACUGGAACUGAGACACGGGCCAGACUCCUACGGGAGGCAGCAGUGGGAAAUAUUGGACAAUGGGCGCAAGCCUGAUCCAGCCAUACCGGGUGGGUGAAGAAGGCCUUCGGGUUGUAAAGCCCUUUUGUUGGGAAAGAAAUCCAGCUGGUUAAUACCCGGUUGGGAUGACGGUACCCAAAGAAUAAGCACCGGCUAACUUCGUGCCAGCAGCCGCGGUAA
rnacentral:rRNA from 1 species